rnacentral:rRNA from 1 species
GACGAACGCUGGCGGCGUGCUUAACACAUGCUAGUCGAACGGAAAGGCCCUGCUUUUGUGGGGUGCUCGAGUGGCGAACGGGUGAGUAACACGUGAGUAACCUGCCCUUGACUUUGGGAUAACUUCAGGAAACUGGGGCUAAUACCGGAUAGGAGCUCCUGCUGCAUGGUGGGGGUUGGAAAGUUUCGGCGGUUGGGGAUGGACUCGCGGCUUAUCAGCUUGUUGGUGGGGUAGUGGCUUACCAAGGCUUUGACGGGUAGCCGGCCUGAUAGGGUGACCGGCCACAUUGGGACUGAGAUACGGCCCAGACUCCUACGGGAGGCAGCAGUGGGGAAUAUUGCACAAUGGGCGGAAGCCUGAUGCAGCAACGCCGCGUGCGGGAUGACGGCCUUCGGGUUGUAAACCGCUUUCGCCUGUGACGAAGCGUGAGUGACGGUAAUGGGUAAAGAAGCACCGGCUAACUACGUG